UAGUAUCGGGUAGUAUAACUAAGAUUAGAAAAGUGUUUUAAAGGCUAUUUUUCAAGCAAAAUUAUAUACAAAAUAUUCAAAAAUUAAACAUUUUAUUUAUUCUCUUUCUUUUCAAAACUCUAAGAUGUGAUUUUCGUCCCGAGCUGUGUGACCGCUCCCUCCGAAAUAUAUACCGAAAUAUACCUGGAAUAUAUUAUAAUAUUGCCGGAUCGAUACUACAUCCACGAUCGCGUGCAUCGCGCCAGCAGCUGGUACUUUAUUUAGUUACCUGCAAAUUUUACAACGUACGACGUACAUGCUUCUCAGGUGCGCACAUUUCCGCGUCGUCUUUUUUCCUUCACCAUGUUUUACCUCAUCGGCUUUGACCGGCUCUAUUGGCAGAGACCCUCUUUGGACACAAUCUUAGCAGUGCCGCAGGGGAUCGGGGGAUCUGAUCCCGCCAGCGGGUCACUACCUUCGGUAGCCAGGAAUAACUAGUGCGUGCCCGCAGAUAACGAUAUGCCCACCAAUGUUUACCAGGGGUUUCACCUUUCUGGUCUUCCGAUUCAUAUGAGAGAGUGGGCCUCGAUACCAUGCGCCCCUCGCAUGGCCUUUGGCCUGGGUGACCUUUGGGUGCGGCCACUGCCAUGGCCUUCUCUCCGCCUUUCCGCCGUAGCUCCACAUCCUUUCGGGAGUUCCAAGGGAUGUGCUCCUGGCUGGAUUGUGGCAGCCAUGAAGUCGCUGCUGUGUCGCUGAGUCGACAAUGUGGCGUCCCGUCCACUGCCGCAGGCACCAGAGAUCGACGGGAACCACGGAAAAUAAUGUCGCCAACAUGCGUCGCCGAUUCCAGCGCUGGGCUUCAGCUUCGAUACGUAUGACUUAUGUACCCUACGCUUUGGCUAAAACCGAGUCGUAUCCGAUUUCCCACCGCCAGACGGAGCCCUGUCCAGCAUUACCGAGGCGUAUUAGAGACGGACCGAGUCCCAUCCCAGCCAGACAGAAUCGUAUCCAGCAGGAUAGAAUCGCAUAGAAGUCAUAGUCAUCCUUUGAAAUGGCCACCAAGGACUUUCACUAUGGCAACUGAGGGAGCGGCUACGCGGGCUACUAGAUUCUAGAUAGAUCUCAUCAUUGUUAGAUUUAAGGAUAUGCGAGUCUAUAGCAGAUAUACAUAUACAUAUGAUGUAUAGAUAUAGAUAUAUAUAUAGAUAUAAAUGUUGUCCACUUGUUUAUUUAUUUAUACUAAGUUAAGUUAUGGUUAAUAAAAUUUUUGAAUAAUCA